UACGAAGGGGGCUAGCGUUGUUCGGAAUUACUGGGCGUAAAGCGCGCGUAGGCGGUUUACCAAGUCGGGCGUGAAAGCCCCGGGCUCAACCCGGGAAAUGCGCUCGAAACUUGUAGACUGGAGGCCGGAAGAGGGUAGUGGAAUUCCCAGUGUAGAGGUGAAAUUCGUAGAUAUUGGGAAGAACACCGGUGGCGAAGGCGGCUACCUGGUCCGGAUCUGACGCUGAGGCGCGAAAGCGUGGGGAG
rnacentral:rRNA from 1 species